rnacentral:rRNA from 1 species
AGUCGAACGCUUCUUUCCUCCCGAGUGCUUGCACUCAAUUGGAAAGAGGAGUGGCGGACGGGUGAGUAACACGUGGGUAACCUACCCAUCAGAGGGGGAUAACACUUGGAAACAGGUGCUAAUACCGCAUAACAGUUUAUGCCGCAUGGCAUAAGAGUGAAAGGCGCUUUCGGGUGUCGCUGAUGGAUGGACCCGCGGUGCAUUAGCUAGUUGGUGAGGUAACGGCUCACCAAGGCCACGAUGCAUAGCCGACCUGAGAGGGUGAUCGGCCACACUGGGACUGAGACACGGCCCAGACUCCUACGGGAGGCAGCAGUAGGGAAUCUUCGGCAAUGGACGAAAGUCUGACCGAGCAACGCCGCGUGAGUGAAGAAGGUUUUCGGAUCGUAAAACUCUGUUGUUAGAGAAGAACAAGGACGUUAGUAACUGAACGUCCCCUGACGGUAUCUAACCAGAAAGCCACGGCUAACUACGUGCCAGCAGCCGCGGUAAUACGUAGGUGGCAAGCGUUGUCCGGAUUUAUUGGGCGUAAAGCGAGCGCAGGCGGUUUCUUAAGUCUGAUGUGAAAGCCCCCGGCUCAACCGGGGAGGGUCAUUGGAAACUGGGAGACUUGAGUGCAGAAGAGGAGAGUGGAAUUCCAUGUGUAGCGGUGAAAUGCGUAGAUAUAUGGAGGAACACCAGUGGCGAAGGCGGCUCUCUGGUCUGUAACUGACGCUGACGCUCGAAAGCGUGGGAGCAAACAGGAUUAGAUACCCUGGUAGUCCACGCCGUAAACGAUGAGUGCUAAGUGUUGGGAGGGUUUCCGCCCUUCAGUGCUGCAGCAAACGCAUUAAGCACUCCGGCCUGGGGAGUACGA